rnacentral:lncRNA from 1 species
ACCAAAGUAACUGUCAUUCUAUGGAAUGACUCCCUAUGGAGAUAGGGAUAUAUGGGGGAAUGUGGGCUUAAAUUUGAUCUUUACGGAUCUACAAGAAAACAACAAAAGAAGGGGUGUGUAGCUUCCAAGGAGCAAUGGAUCCAAAAUGAGCUCAGCUUAGCUCCAUCAAUCAGCUUCACAACUCAAACCCUGGACACAUCAGACAUUCCUGUAGCAACUGCUCCAAUAGCAGGUCAGUGACAAGUUGGCCCAAGUUUGCAGCUGAUGUAAACCUUGACUAUUCCAAGUCACUCCCAUCUGUUUUUUUUUAAGUUAACAAGCCUUCAUUAAGCACCUGCUAUGUGACAGGCACCAUGCUAAGUGCUAAGAACAUAAAUACAAGCAGAAAGAAAGAUGAUCUGUCCUCUCAAGGACCUUACGUCCUAAUGGGUGAAGACAGCACCCAGAAGGAAGCUGAUUAGGGUAGGGGGUGGAGGAUGCCAAAGAAGAUACCUCUUCUGGGGCACAGUAGAGAAAGCCUAGACAGUCAGGAGAGGAGCCCAGAGAUGAAAGAGGAUAUGAGCAUCAGUCAGCAGAGGAGUCUUCAGGGGUGGCGUGUACUUCCAGUGUGACAUGUCCAGGGGGAGAGUGAACUUCCAAAGGGAGAAAGCUGCUGCGUUUGCCAGCGAGGGGAAGGCAAGGCAAGGGUCUUGGCAACUUCCAGCACCAGGGCAGGCUGUCCUGACAUUUCAGAACUUGAAAGGCUAUGACUGAUCAACUAGUCCAACCCCCUCCUUUGACAGUGAGGCAGUUGAAGCCCAGAGUACGGUUGCCACUCCACUCUACCAUGGUUAGAACUUACCUGGAGUAUUAUGUUCAGUUUUGGUUACCACCAUUUAAGGACUUUAAUAAGCUGGAGUAUUUGGAGAAAGGCAACCAGAACGAAUAAGUGCUCUGAGUCCAUAUCAGAGGACUUGUUGAAGGACAUGGGGAAAAGAACUCUCAGUCGGAUGUGGCCAUCCUCUUCAAAUAACUGAAGGGCUAUUAUGUAGGGAAGGGAUUAGACUACAUUCAUUUGGCCCAAGAGAGCAGAACAUGCAAAGGUCUCAUUGGCCAGGCCCCUGGUACAAGAAAAACUGCAGGUAUGAGAUAACAGUUGAUAUUUUCUAGCACUUUGCAGCCUCAGAACACCUUAUUUGAUUUUUUUUUAAUCUUGCCUUCUUUCUUAGAACUGACUCUGAGACAGAAGAGCAAUAAGGAC